CAGGUACAAAAAGGACUCGCCCCAACAAGUCAUAACAUCUGUAUGUACAUGAACUCAACAGAAGUAAAUCUACCUGCAGCAGGGAUCCUCUAUCUCAGCAACUCGUCGGGUAGGGCUCUAGCUCGCAACGCUCUUGUCACGAUCAGUCCCAGAAGAUGCAAUAGCCGGAACCGAUGGCUCUGCAAAAGAAGGGUAACAACUGGGCGUAAGAACUAUUGUAAAACAAGUAGUCCUCAGUGGGUGCCGCCCUCAACAUCAUCGGACCACCCACUAAGUCUACAGAAGGAAGUAAAGAUAAUAGGGAAAGCUGGAAGACAAUCUACAGCUACAUGCCACUACACUAUCAUGCUCUACACUAACCAACUGUAGUAAAAGUAAAUCCUGACCCAAUCUCAUCAGGGACUGUGAUACACCCGUCCCGCCUAUCGAAGCUAUACUAACAAACACCACGAUAGGUAGUUAGUGGAGAGCAAGUCCAACUAGGACACAAUGACACCAACGCAAAAGCACAAAGCACGACUCCGGAGUGGCACUCGUGGGAGCUACCCAACCGAGUAUGCAAGCGUAUCUCUGUCUAGCUCAAUCAGGCUCUCAUAGGCUAUAGUCAAGUACACAGGGUCAAAUUGAUCAACCAACAUGUCACGUGCCCUCAGCACAAUCUGAUGCUAAAAUGGCAAACCUGGUCCACCGUCCGUCCCGACGGCACCCAACAGUCCAGAACAAUCUGAACUCUACUGUAAAAAUAGGCUCGACAUCCCAGCACGAGCGUAACAGUAAACUACACUACCUAGGGUAUCCACCACACUAAUACUGCGACGAUACAAAAAUCAUAAUGGCUCCUAGAGCUAAAUCUAGUAGUGUAAACAGGUGACAGAUCCAUAACACUGAUUUUCUCCUAUGUCAUAUCCAAGUCCAACAUGUAUACUUUAUCCAUAAUAAAACUAAGCUCCAAAUUCAGUUUAGAUGUCAACAACAUGAAAGAUCAUGAAUUCGAGCUAUUUACACGUGAAAUGCAUCCACCAAAUAUACAUGCCGACAACGAGACAUUAGGAAUAGAAUUCGAUGAUAAACCUACCUCGAAACGCUAAACCGGCACCGGCGCGACGUCGAAACGGUGGAAUCACAUGCUCGCUCGGCCUCCCAACGCAGCCACCACAACGC
rnacentral:lncRNA from 1 species